rnacentral:tRNA from 1 species
GUUCUCUGUGGCACAAUGAGUCGGUGCAUCUGGCUGUUAAACCAGAAGGUUGGUGGUUCAAGCCCACCCAAGGAUG